UGGGGAAUUGUUCGCAAUGGGCGCAAGCCUGACGCAGCAACGCCGCGUGGAGGAUGAAGGUCUUUGGAUUGUAAACUCCUGUCAGCAGGGAAAAAGCGAGGGGACCUAAUACGUCCUUGAGUUGAUUGUACCUGCAGAGGAAGCCCCGGCUAACUCUGUUCCUGCAGCCGCGGUAAUACAGAGGGGGCAAGCGUUAUUCGGAAUUAUUGGGCGUAAAGGGCGCGUAGGCGGCCUGGCAAGUGACGGGUGAAAUCCCUCGGCUUAACCGAGGAACUGCCUGUCAGACUGCUUGGCUCGAGACCGGGAGAGGUGAGUGGAAUUCCCAGUGUAGCGGUGAAAUGCGUAGAUAUUGGGAGGAACACCAGUGGCGAAGGCGGCUCACUGGACCGGAACUGACGCUGAGGCGCGAAAGCGUGGGGAGCAAA
rnacentral:rRNA from 1 species